AAUUGAUUCCAAAAACGGUAAUGCAUUGUGAAUUAAAAGUUUUGCUAUAAUGAUGGAAAGUUCAAUGAGGCUAUAGAAAGCGAGUCACACUACACGAGAUUCAAAUAAUAAUACCAAAAAGGUGCUAUUGACUAUUAAGCGUGUCUCAGGAUUACUGUCCUUUACUAAUCAUAAAGCUUAUUAAAUAUUUGGUUAACACUCAAAACUCAAACUUUUAAUGCUGUAUUAUUCUAGCCACUCAUAUUUGCUAUAUUGUAUUUGUACAAUGUGGGAUACUUAAUUUCAAUUAAACUGAAGAUUAAGUUGUGCUAAUGUUUAUAGAGUAGAGGGGUUAGUUAAGAAAGGAGUUUGUUAUAUAUCGAU